rnacentral:SRP_RNA from 1 species
GCCGGGCGUUGGUGGCGCACGCCUUUAAUCCCAGCACUUGGGAGGCAGAGGCAGGCGGAUCUCUGUGAGUUCGAGGCCAGGCUGGACCGACAGCCUCCAAAACAGAGAAACCCUGUCUCGUAAAACAAAAAACAAAACAAAACAAACAAACAAAAAAAGAAACACUAAAGACUAACAACCCUUUUUUUUUUUUUUUUUUUUUUUGUUUUUUACGGAAAAGGGUUUCUCUGUAUUGUUUUGGAGGCUAUCGGUCCAGCCUGGCCUCGAACUCACAGAGAUCCGCCUGCCUCUG